GGGGACCGAACCCAGGGCCUUGCGCUCGCUAGGCAAGCGUUCUACCGCUGAGCUAAAUCCCCAACCCCUUUUAUUUACUUUUUAAUAGACAUCUAUCAUCUCAAAAAGGAAGUAGGCUUUGCUUUUUGAUUACACUGCUCUGAGUGGGAGAGGGUAUGGAAGAGAGUGAUUCCAGUUAGUUAGAAGUAUUGAAUAGUCAAACAUAGGGCAACAUGUGUGAAAUCCCAGCACACUGGGAAGAAGGUCAAAGCAAGAGGAUCCAGGGUUAGAGGCCAUCCUGGGCUACAUGAAGACAGUGUCUCAGAAACAAAAGAUGGGGCUGCAGAAAUGGCUUGGUGGAUAAGAACACUUGCUAUAUGCAAAUUUGAAGACCCAAAUUCAGAUCCGAGUACCCACGCUAACAAACCAGGCAUGGUUUCUGGCACACCUGUAACCCCCAGUCCUCUAGAAAGAUGAGGCAGGAGGGUCACUAGGCCUGGCUAGCUGCCAGCCUUGCCCAAAAGGUGAGUCUCAGGUUCAGAGAAAGACUGUCUCAAGUGGAUAGGCAGAGAGUAAUGGAGGAGGAUACCCAACAUCAUUCCCUUCUACCCUCUGCCCAUAGAUACAUGAGCCUGGACACACACACACACACACACACACACACACACACACACACACACGUGCACAUACUCCACACUCACAUAUAUAUAUACAGCACAUACAAACACACAAGUAGAAAUUAAAUAUCAAAUACAUUAAUUACUAUUUCAUGACUUCACAUAACCGGGGCGCCACUCUGUAUCCCAAGCUGGCCUCAGACUCAGGGCAGUCCUCCUGUCUCAGCCUCUUGAGUGCUAGGACUGUAGGCAUCCUCAUCUGGUUUGGUUGACCUUAGAUCUUCUGAGUUAAGACAUCUCAGCGGAUUAGUGGAGCUGGAUUAGUGAGAAUCGAGUAGCAGGUGAGGUGUUCAGAGCUGGGGCUCGAGCAGGGACAACACCAGGCUUAGGACUCCAGUAAAGCUGCUACAGGGACACCAGUGUUAAUUCAGGGCUGUAGAUUAAUGCAGUUAAUUGUAGACCCUACAUUUGCAUCUUGGUUGUAAGUCUUUCACCCCAGUAGAGAAAAAAAUGUUACAACUUCUGUUUUUCCUGGCUUCAGGAAAUUCAUGACAGAUAUAUAAUGUGCCUUUCCUCCAUGUUCCUGCCUCUGGGCAGUGCCAGAGCAGAGCCCUCAUGGCUGACAUAGGAGAAAACAGCUUUAUGGAGUUUUUGCUCUGAACUCUGUGCCUUAAAAGAUAUUUUUCUGUCAGAUGUAUAUUUACUUUAUUUUGUUUUGUUUCCAGUCUUACUAUGUAGCUCUGGCUGCCUAGAACUUGCUGUGUAGACCAGGCUGGCUCAAAUGUAUAGAGAACCCCCUGCUUCUGCCGUCCCCUCCUGAGUGCUGGGAUUAAAGGCACCCUAUCCCUUUGCUGGGUGCAUCUCAGUGUAUUUGUAUGUAAGUACAUAAUGGAUCUUCCAGUUUUCUCUUUGAGGUUAAGCUCUAAAUUAUCUGGGAUAACCUGGAAGCUUACUAAGUUACAUAGAAAGGGUUUCUUUGAAUUCCCUUAAUCCAAAGGGAGGUACAUGGAAUGCUGGGAGGGUUAGGGGAGGGGGAGCACUGAGUAAGGAUCACUGUGGGAGUUGAGGCCCAGGGAGAUGGUCCAUGCUCAGGGGAAAGCAAGCAAAUACAAAGACACCAUGCAGUGCACAGUGACAGGGAUCAAAGUGAGCUUCCCCUCCAUGGCUGGUUGCCUUUUAUGCCUGUUGAAGCUGCCUUGACACUUCAAAAACCCCUCAGAGCCAGGCAUGGGUACACCUUUAAUAUCAUGGCUCUCUGAGUUCCAGGCCAGCUAGGGCUAUACAGUGAGACCUGUCUCAAUGAGAAAUGAAAAGCCCUCUAGCUUCCAGGCAGGAAAACCCAGAUGAGGGGCUGCAAACGGACAGACACCCUGGGUUCUGCAUUCCCAGCUCAGGAUCUCAUGUUGAGAGAUAACUCACUCUGAGAAUGGUGAAGCGGUCAUUGCCUAACAUCCGCCACUUCUAAUGCUGUAACAGCCGAGGCAGGUGGUGAACUCUUGUCAGAAGUUGAAGAGUGAGCAGGAGUCACUUUUUUGUCCCAGUUUAUUGGAGACUAGCUUGCUGUUCUCUACUCGAGCAGAUGAAUUUACGCCAAGACUCCCAGCACGCACUUUAUGCUCUUACCUCUGUUUUGUGUUUUGUUUUCUUUCCUUGAAUUGGGGUCUCACACUAGCCCAGGACUCCCAGCAAUCCUUGUGCCUUAAUCUCCCAUGUACUAAGAUUACAGACUGAGCCACCAUGCCAGACCGGCUCUAGCUCCAUUUACCAUGGUGCCUCUACACUUUUCAGACUUUGUACUCCAUUUUCUGUUACUUUACUUACCAGGAGACCAAAAGCAAGAAGGAUGUGAAUUAGAAUUAAAUAGCUUUGAGCCUCUGGUGCUGCCCUUUUAAACAUUUUAACCUCUCUAGGGUUAGGGGGAGGAAGAUAAUUCCUAAACUCUAUACAAGUAAUUAGGUGUGUUAAUAGCAGGAAAUUGUGAUCCUCUCUACCCCCCACCCUACUACUGUUUCUGCUGUCCCACGGCUCUUGUCUUUGGAAGGCUUUGCCAGGCACUGGAACCUAAUUAGUCGGUCAUCUCUAAUCUGUGGGACUCACCUUUCCUUUCUCUCCUCCUUCCCAACCACAUACUUUGUUCUGAGGUGAUUUGUUUCUGAGAACUAACUAGGUUACCCCUCUGUUCCCACGUAGUUUCUGGCGUCUCGCUAUGUCAACUGUUACAGUAGCAACUGUGCUCGCUGGCCUGGCCCAGUGUGUGCUCUGCCAAGGCCAUGGAGAGGAGGGUGCCCCGGGGUUCUUCUCAGUGUUGCCUUGGUUUUCAAGUUGUCCGGCAGCUUUAUGUAUAGUAAACUUUCAGGAAAACAAAAGUUUCUUUUUUAUUUAGGAUAAACAGUUUGAUUCUGAUGCACAAGCUUCCGUGUAUAUGUGUGUGGAUGAGCAUCUCUGUAUGUAUACCUAUAUAGAUCUAUAUUAUAUAUACAAUUUUGUACUAUCGUUUAAAAUAAAG
ensembl:lncRNA